GAUGAACGCUGGCGGCGUGCCUAAUACAUGCAAGUCGAGCGAACAGAUGAGGAGCUUGCUCCUCUGACGUUAGCGGCGGACGGGUGAGUAACACGUGGAUAACCUACCUAUAAGACUGGGAUAACUUCGGGAAACCGGAGCUAAUACCGGAUAAUAUAUUGAACCGCAUGGUUCAAUAGUGAAAGACGGUUUUGCUGUCACUUAUAGAUGGAUCCGCGCCGCAUUAGCUAGUUGGUAAGGUAACGGCUUACCAAGGCAACGAUGCGUAGCCGACCUGAGAGGGGGAUCGGCCACACUGGAACUGAGACACGGUCCAGACUCCUACGGGAGGCAGCAGUAGGGAAUCUGCCGCAAUGGGCGAAAGCCUGACGGAGCAACGCCGCGUGAGUGAUGAAGGUCUUCGGAUCGUAAAACUCUGUUAUUAGGGAAGAACAAAUGUGGAAGUAACUAUGCACGUCUUGACGGUACCUAAUCAGAAAGCCACGGCUAACUACGUG
rnacentral:rRNA from 1 species